rnacentral:lncRNA from 1 species
AUAGAUUGCCUGUGGUCCUUGCUAUUCCUUAGAGAUGGGCAGACGGGAGAAAAAGAGAAAUUCACUUUCAGUAUUUUUCUCAAUGUCUUAAUUUGGGAAAAUUCAGAGGUUUUUUCGGUGGUUCAUUCUGAGGUCUGGGCAAAGGUUCAAGCCCAUUCCUGAGUUAUCUAAACUGAUUCAUCCUCCCCCGUCCAAAGCCAACAAUUGCAGAGGUUUGUGCAGUACUCUGCCCUCGCUCUACUUAGUGCUGAGAGGUUUUUAAUCUUCCUCUUGUUGGUCUCCUUAUCUUCUGGUGCUUCUCUGUCUCAUCCCCUUUUACAGAGGCUCCCAACCUAAUCAACAUCUCCUGCAGCUGAUGACAGACACAAGAAGCAGAUGAACUAAAAGGUUAAUGGAAGGGGAAUGGUUUGACAUACAUAUAUGGAAGGACUCCCAGAUUUCCAUUUCUUCAUUUGUUGGUAUCUGUAGCAGGUUUCAGGAGUGUGCAGGAUUCAACACACAACAUGGGCUUUGAUGAGGUGAGUUGUGUGAUCUGAUGCCAUUGUUGAAGAAGCUAUUGCGUUGGCUUCCAUAACUUACUAAGCAUUUUCUGAGUAUCUGUUGUGUUCAAGGCUUCACUUUACUGACUCCCAAUCUUACUGCAAUCCUAUGCUUUAAUCACAUUGGCCCCAUGUUUUAGUGAAGAUCAGAUGCACUGGAUAGAAUGGAGCUCAUUUAUGUCCUGUGAUAUGAAUAUUAAGAUUUUUUAGACUUUAUAAUUUUAUGAAGUAAUUUUAUUAUUCU